rnacentral:lncRNA from 12 species
CCGGGCUCCGGGAACCCAGUGCUUGCUUUCACAGUAACAGCCCAGAGUGGCCCGGCUGGGAUGCUAGGGGUUAAAAGGUAGCUGGUCUCCUCUCCCGUGCGGUUGAAGAAGAGCCUCCCUCCCCGCCUGUCCCUUCCGUGCGGGUGACAGCGUCCAGGCUGUGUAGACGGAGCUGCCAUUGCCACCUGGAGGUCUGGGUCUGUUGGCCACAGGGCAGCUGCACACGCUGGGACUGCCGGCUAGGCCAGGACGCCUGGCAGCUGCGGACUCCCUAGCUCGGAGCAGCCCCUCUUUGACCUCGCAUGGUGGAGAAGCAGCCCCAUGAAGGUGCCCAGCCAUGCAAUGUUCCUGGAAGGCCGUCCUCCUCCUCGCCCUGGCCUCAAUCGCCAUACAGUACACGGCCAUCCGCACCUUCACCGCCAAGUCCUUCCACACCUGCCCGGGGCUGGCGGAGGCGGGGCUGGCCGAGCGGCUGUGCGAGGAGGGCCCCACCUUCGCCUACAACCUCUCGCGCAAGACCCACAUCCUCAUCCUGGCCACCACGCGCAGCGGCUCCUCCUUCGUGGGCCAGCUCUUCAACCAGCACCUGGACGUCUUCUACCUGUUCGAGCCCCUCUACCACGUCCAGAACACGCUCAUCCCCCGCUUCACCCAGGGCAAGAGCCCCGCGGACCGGCGGGUCAUGCUGGGCGCCAGCCGCGACCUCCUGAGGAGCCUCUAUGACUGUGACCUCUACUUCCUGGAGAACUACAUCAAACCGCCGCCCGUCAACCACACCACCGACAGGAUCUUCCGCCGCGGGGCCAGCAGGGUGCUGUGCUCUCGCCCCGUGUGCGACCCCCCGGGCUCCGCCGACCUGGUGCUGGAGGAGGGGGACUGCGUGCGCAAGUGCGGCCUGCUGAACCUGACCGUGGCCGCCGAGGCCUGUCGGGAGCGCAGCCACGUGGCCAUCAAGACGGUGCGGGUGCCCGAGGUCAACGACCUCCGGGCCCUGGUUGAAGACCCAAGGUUAAACCUCAAGGUCAUCCAGCUGGUCCGAGACCCGCGGGGCAUCCUGGCCUCCCGCAGCGAGACCUUCCGCGACACGUACCGGCUCUGGCGGCUCUGGUACGGCACCGGGCGGAAGCCCUACAACCUGGACGUGACGCAGCUGACCACGGUGUGCGAGGACUUCUCCAACUCGGUGUCCACCGGGCUCACGCGGCCGCCGUGGCUCAAGGGCAAGUACAUGCUGGUGCGCUACGAGGACCUGGCCAGGAACCCCAUGAAGAAGACCGAGGAGAUCUACGGCUUCCUGGGCAUCCCCCUGGACAGCCACGUGGCCCGCUGGAUCCAGAACAACACGCGGGGCGACCCCACCCUGGGCAAGCACAAGUACGGCACCGUGCGCAACUCGGCGGCCACGGCCGAGAAGUGGCGCUUCCGCCUCUCCUACGACAUCGUGGCCUUCGCCCAGAACGCCUGCCAGCGGGUGCUGGCGCAGCUGGGCUACAAGCUGGCCACGUCGGAGGAGGAGCUCAAGAACCCCUCCAUCAGCCUGGUGGAGGAGCGGGACUUCCGCCCUUUCUCGUGACCAGGGCUCCGCGGGUGGGGGUGAGGGGCACAUGGUGUCGGUUUUGAUAAAAUGGACCGUUUUUAACUGUUGCCUUAUCUCCCCCUCCCUCUCCGACCCUGUCUUUGUGUCCUUCUGGCCCCUC